CUCCUAUUGAUUUAAUGGUCGAACUAAAUAUUAUUAAUAUUUAGGUCCAAGUUCGAAUCUUGAAUAAGAGU
rnacentral:tRNA from 1 species